AUGAUGAACUCAACUUCGUCAUGACACUUAUGAAAAUUUAAAUUCUUGUUGGUCCUAUAAUUUCUUUAUCACCAAAAUUAAUGAGGUAAUUAGAAUGGGUUCGUAUAAAAGAAUUUCGAUUAUCCUGUGCUGAAUUUUGGAGAUUAACAUAUUCCAAGCACGAAAAAAUGUUCCCUUUGUUAGAAAAGUAAAUGCAUCUUCUUCCGCCAUUUUGUUUUUCGUAAUACUGCGGCUACAUUGUGACGUAGGAGCUUCGAGUAACACCCCUUGCCAUCGAUUACUGACCGAUUUGCAAAAUAGCAUCCAUAUCUGAGCAAGUAUUCAAUUCUAUUGUCUACCGUGCACGAUGGUCGAAAGAGCUGGACAACAUACGUACCUUGGCCAGCAAGAAAAUGGCGGCACUGUGAAGCAAGUUCUUCGAAAAUUGGAAUGUAUACCUUGAUUCUUUACCGACCAGAAAAGGUUCAGUGACGAUCGAUUUUUCUGUGUACCUCUUCCAAACUCAAAGAAAUUCAUGCGUAAACAGAGCGAGUAGGAAUUAGCCGCCAUAUCGAUCUCUUUCCUCCUCUGUAUCCCAGGCAACGUGAAGCACAUCGGUGAGCUUGGGGAGUGUCUUAACCGAUGAUUGCGCAUGCGGCCUUCAACUUUCGUCCUGCCUUCUUAUCGACCACACGCACACUAGCAACGACGUUCCAGCGUCUUAGCACCACCGCAAGUACUAACUGCAAUGUUUGGGAUCUGAUGUCUAUCGAGAAAGUGCUAGGCAAGUGUUGGUCAGGUUGGUGUGCUCAGAAAGCGAGUUGAGAAAAUGUACAAAAUAAGGAAAUAUAUAUAUAUCAUCAAUACAUUUGGCGAAUUUUGACGUGAUUUUUUUAUCGCUUAAAGGACUUCUGUAAUUUGUUCAAUCGUUUUCAUGCAUAUGCUGUGAUUGUGAGCGUUAAUCAAAUAUUAAAUAUAAAUAACCAAUAAUUAAUUUUUCGGCCAAGCUGAAGUGAAGUUACGCCAGCUACCUCCUUAAAAAUGAAUUUAACAUUUAUUUUUGUAAUAUAAUUCUACCCCAGGAAGAAACUUAUUAGAUGUAUAUGUAAGUUUUAUGUCACGAUGUAAAAUUAAAUUAUCUUUAA